AGAAACAGGAAGUGCCCCUCUUUUCCCCUCCGCUCUUGCUCCAGCGGCGGGAUGUGAUCCACUGGCAAGGAGGGACGCCAAUAAGGUGUCCGAUAAAAUAAGUCUUAUAAAAUAUAUAGGUUUAUGAUAGUUAACACUGAGCUAGCAGAUGAGAAUCCUAGUCAUUGGCCAAGCAGCUUUGAACCUAAUCCAAGUUUCUGUGUAUUCAUUUGGGCCCUAACUCAGGCAGGCGGCUGGCAUAAAGCUCACACGUGGCGUUGGGGCUCGGCGGCUUUUGGCAGAAAGAUUUAUCGUAACAACCCUUUCUUUUGCAAAACAUGCAUUAUGAGCACUUUCUAGGAAAGAGAGAGUGAGGAAAAUGAGGACAAGGAGCCAUGAGGGAAAGCUAUAUUCACCAGCUUCCCCCUGUCCUGUCCCCCAAUGGGAACCAUUUUUUAACUCUUUGUACAGUUUCUGGCCACAUUUAAUGGUCUCUAGAUCCCUAAACAACAACAACAACAACAAAAACCACAUCAUUUUGAAAAUGAAAGCUGUCAACUUGCAAGGAAGUGUGCCUCACCCAAAGGCGAGUCCAGCACCCUGUGGCGAGGAGGUGAGGAGUCGUUUCCACAAUCUCUAUAUUUGUGCCAACCCUUUCUGCAGAAUGCACAAAGACUUGAAGGAGACUGAAGUAGAUAGAUUUUAUACCAACACUCUUGGAUGUCUGUAGCAGGCUACAACUUCUAGGGAACUGUGAAUCCAUCUACCGUGAUGCUGGCUGGCAGGAAAGAAUCCUUGAAUUAAGAAAAGCAGAGGACUUUGUUUCCCUGGAGAUGAGUUACCGCCAAUGGCAGGAAGUUCUUAGGAGCCUUGACCAGGUGUUACUAAGUACCACGGGAUGAUAGAUAAGGCUGGCAUCUCAAAAGGCUCAUCUCCAUUAUGAACUCAACUUCAUUUAGCAUCUCCAUGGAAACAUGGAGACAAGUGUAACUGAGGAGGAAUGGCUGACCCUGAAUGAAGGAGGAACCAUUUGUUGGGCUGGGGUCCCCAGCUGAACAAGAGAACCAGCUGGGUACCAGGGCUUGUAUUUCUCUGCUUCAUGACUGAGGUUGCAGCUUGUUGAUGCACCUGUACUGAUGCUUAGACUAGACCCUCAAACUAAACUGUUAGACGGGGAUUUGGUCAAAGUGAGAAGUAACUAACGGGGCAUGAAAAAGUAGAGGGGCUUUUGUAACACCUCCAUGUUGUCUCGAGAAGAUCAUGGAUCCUGAGUGCCAGUAAGCAGGCACUCAAGGCCAUGUUGUUCAGUGUGAACUUCCUAGUCUCCUGCUUCCUAUUCUCUUGAAGAUCCAUGAAAUGGUAUUCUAAAUUAAGCUGGGCCUCCAAAUUACAUCCAUCUCACUGUGUUGGUUGCUGGUCUCUGUUAAAAUGUCCAGAGCUCAGAGUUUCACAGAGACCCCUGGAGUUCUGAGCCAAGCUCCAGACAGUUGUAUUGCUCAGACUUUCUUCUGUCCAAUUAAUGCUAACUUUCUUAAAGACAAAUGUCACUGGAUGAAGAUAAAAUGUCACCACACAUGGUUAGCCGUUCCUAAACAUCUGGUUGAGUCUGCAUUUAAAGGUUUUAUAAAAAGGAUGCACACGUCAUACUAUUUUGACAUGGUCUUUAGAAAGGUGGAAAUUAAAUUACCUAGGAAAUUAAUUACCUACUCAAGCUUGAUUUCCAUGGUAGAAUCAUUGCGGUGUUUUCUUGCACUGAACUCACCAAUGUUUGGAGACUAAACUAGGUGAGCCAGUUAUUUUCAUGCUUUAUUGGCUACAGAAGUUGUAUCUGUAUUUAGUGUAGACAUGGUGCACAUUAAAUCACUCUAGCAAAAAUAAGCUGAGAGCAUGGUUUCCUUACCCGGGAAGUUCACAUUUUAAGGUGUGAUAGUUUCGUUCAUAUUCAAACUUUUAAGAGACCAGAGACUUCAUCUAGCAACUGAUGGGAGCAGAUGCAGAGUCCUGUAGGCAAACAUUAGGAGGAGGUAGGGAGUCCUUUAGAGGAGGAGAAAGAAUUGCAGGAACCAGAGGGGUCAGUGAUACAUUGAGAACACAGAACACGGCCCACAGAAUCAACGGACCUGGACUCCCAGGGACUCAGAGAUCAGACCUAGGUCCUCUGCAUAUAUGUUAUGGCUGAGUGAUUUGGAGUUCUUGUGGGAUUCCUAACCCACAAGUGGCAGGGGCAGUCACUGACUCUUUUGCCUCCAUGGGAUCCCUUUUCUCCUAUUGGGUUGCAUCAUCCAGUCUUCAUGUGUGUGCCUGGUCUUAUAGCAGCAUACAGUGACAUUCUUGGUACAUGUCCCUGGGAGGCCUGAUCUUUUCUGAGGGGAG
ensembl:lncRNA